GCGGCUCAGUGGCAGAGCAUCUGCUUUGCAUGCAGAAUGUCCCAGGUUCAAUCCCUGACGUCUCCA